CCUACGGGAGGCAGCAGUGAGGAAUAUUGGUCAAUGGGCUUACGCCUGAACCAGCCAAGUCGCGUGAGGGAAGACUGCCCUAUGGGUUGUAAACCUCUUUUGUCAGGGAGCAACGCCGGCUACGUGUAGCCGGACUGAGAGUACCUGAAGAAAAAGCAUCGGCUAACUCCGUGCCAGCAGCCGCGGUAAUACGGGGGAUGCGAGCGUUAUCCGGAUUUAUGGGGUUAAAGGGGUGCGUAGGCGGAAUGCCAAGUCAGCGGUAAAAUCGCGGGGCUCAACCUCGCUCCGCCGUUGAAACUGGCGUUCUUGAGUGGACGAGAAGUAUGCGGAAUGCGUGGUGUAGCGGUGAAAUGCAUAGAUAUCACGCAGAACUCCGAUUGCGAAGGCAGCAUACCGGCGCCCAACUGACGCUGAAGCACGAAAGCGUGGGUAUCGAACAGGAUUAGAUACCCCAGUAGUC
rnacentral:rRNA from 1 species